rnacentral:rRNA from 1 species
CCUACGGGAGGCAGCAGUAGGGAAUCUUCCGCAAUGGACGAAAGUCUGACGGAGCAACGCCGCGUGAACGAUGAAGGCCUUCGGGUCGUAAAGUUCUGUUGUUAGGGAAGAACAAGUGCUAGUUGAAUAAGCUGGCACCUUGACGGUACCUAACCAGAAAGCCACGGCUAACUACGUGCCAGCAGCCGCGGUAAUACGUAGGUGGCAAGCGUUGUCCGGAAUUAUUGGGCGUAAAGCGCGCGCAGGCGGUUUCUUAAGUCUGAUGUGAAAGCCCCCGGCUCAACCGGGGAGGGUCAUUGGAAACUGGGAAACUUGAGUGCAGAAGAGGAAAGUGGAAUUCCAAGUGUAGCGGUGAAAUGCGUAGAGAUUUGGAGGAACACCAGUGGCGAAGGCGACUUUCUGGUCUGUAACUGACGCUGAGGCGCGAAAGCGUGGGGAGCAAACAGGAUUAGAUACCCUGGUAGUCCACGCUGUAAACGAUGAGUGCUAAGUGUUAGAGGGUUUCCGCCUUUAGUGCUGAAGUUAACGCAUUAAGCACUCCGCCUGGGGAUACGGUCGCAAGACUGAAACUUAAGGAAUUGACG